rnacentral:rRNA from 1 species
AGCAGCCGCGGUAAUUCCAGCUCCAAUAGCGUAUAUUAAAGUUGUUGCAGUUAAAAAGCUCGUAGUUGAAUUUCGGGGUCAGUAGGUCGGUCGUGCCACUGGUAUGAACUGGUUUUACUGAUUCCACCCUCUUGAAGAACUGUAAUGCCAUUAAUUUGGUGUUGCAGGGUAUCAGGACUGUUACUUUGAAAAAAUUAGAGUGUUUAAAGCAGGCUUUAGCUUGAAUACAUUAGCAUGGAAUAAUGAAAUAGGACGUUUGAUCCUAUUUUGUUGGUUUCUAGGAUUGACGUAAUGAUUAAUAGGGAUAGUUGGGGGCAUUAGUAUUCAAUUGUCAGAGGUGAAAUUCUUGGAUUUAUUGAAGACUAACUACUGCGAAAGCAUUUGCCAAGGAUGUUUUCAUUAAUCAAGAACGAAAGUUAGGGGAUCGAAGACGAUCAGAUACCGUCGUAGUCUUAACCAUAAACUAUGCCGACUAGGGAUCGGAUGAUGUUAAUUCUUUAAUGACUCAUUCGGCGCCUUACG